rnacentral:rRNA from 1 species
CCUACGGGAGGCAGCAGUGAGGAAUAUUGGUCAAUGGGCGAGAGCCUGAACCAGCCAAGUCGCGUGAGGGAGUACUGCCCUAUGGGUUGUAAACCUCUUUUGUCGGGGAGCAAAAGCCGGACGUGUCCGGCUGUGAGAGUACCCGAAGAAAAAGCAUCGGCUAACCCCGUGCCAGCAGCCGCGGUAAUACGGGGGAUGCGAGCGUUAUCCGGAUUUAUUGGGGUUAAAGGGUGCGCAGGCGGAUUUUUAAGUCAGCGGUCAAAUCGUGGGGCUCAACCCCAUCCAGCCGUUGAAACUGGGGAUCUAGAGUGGGCGAGAGGUAUGCGGAAUGCGUGGUGUAGCGGUGAAAUGCAUAGAUAUCACGCAGAACCCCGAUUGCGAAGGCAGCAUACCGGUGCACAACUGACGCUCAGGCACGAAAGCGUGGGUAUCGAACAGGAUUAGAUACCCCAGUAGUC